rnacentral:rRNA from 1 species
AGGAAUAUUGGUCAAUGGGCGAGAGCCUGAACCAGCCAAGUAGCGUGAAGGAUGACUGCCCUAUGGGUUGUAAACUUCUUUUAUAAAGGAAUAAAGUCGGGUAUGUAUACCCGUUUGCAUGUACUUUAUGAAUAAGGAUCGGCUAACUCCGUGCCAGCAGCCGCGGUAAUACGGAGGAUCCGAGCGUUAUCCGGAUUUAUUGGGUUUAAAGGGAGCGUAGAUGGAUGUUUAAGUCAGUUGUGAAAGUUUGCGGCUCAACCGUAAAAUUGCAGUUGAUACUGGAUAUCUUGAGUGCAGUUGAGGCAGGCGGAAUUCGUGGUGUAGCGGUGAAAUGCUUAGAUAUCACGAAGAACUCCGAUUGCGAAGGCAGCCUGCUAAGCUGCAACUGACAUUGAGGCUCGAAAGUGUGGGUAUCAAACAGGAUUAGAUACCCUGGUAGUCCACACGGUAAACGAUGAAUACUCGCUGUUUGCGAUAUACGGCAAGCGGCCAAGCGAAAGCGUUAAGUAUUCCACCUGGGGAGUACGCCGGCAACGGUGAAACUCAAAGGAAUUGACGGGGGCCCGCACAAGCGGAGGAACAUGUGGUUUAAUUCGAUGAUACGCGAGGAACCUUACCCGGGCUUAAAUUGCAACCGAAUAUGGCGGAAACGCUAUAGCUAGCAAUAGCGGUUGUGAAGGUGCUGCAUGGUUGUCGUCAGCUCGUGCCGUGAGGUGUCGGCUUAAGUGCCAUAACGAGCGCAACCCUUGCCGAUAGUUACUAACAGGUUAUGCUGAGGACUCUGUCGGGACUGCCAUCGUAAGAUGUGAGGAAGGUGGGGAUGACGUCAAAUCAGCACGGCCCUUACGUCCGGGGCUACACACGUGUUACAAUGGGGGGUACAGAGGGCCGCUACCACGCGAGUGGAUGCCAAUCCCCAAAACCUCUCUCAGUUCGGACUGGAGUCUGCAACCCGACUCCACGAAGCUGGAUUCGCUAGUAAUCGCGCAUCAGCCACGGCGCGGUGAAUACGUUCCCG